rnacentral:rRNA from 1 species
UACAGAGGUCCCAAGCGUUGUUCGGAUUCAUUGGGCGUAAAGGGUGCGUAGGCGGCGCGGUAAGUCGGGUGUGAAAUCUCGGAGCUUAACUCCGAAACUGCAUUCGAUACUGCCGUGCUUGAGGACUGGAGAGGAGACUGGAAUUUACGGUGUAGCAGUGAAAUGCGUAGAGAUCGUAAGGAAGACCAGUGGCGAAGGCGAGUUUCUGGACAGUAACUGACGCUGAGGCACGAAGGCCAGGGGAGCAAACGGG